rnacentral:rRNA from 1 species
UGAGCAAUCUGCCCUUCUCUUCGGAAUAAGCGUUGGAAACGACGUCUAAUGCCGAAUACGACCUCCUUUCGCAUGAUCGGAGGUGGAAAGCUCCGGCGGAGAAGGAUGAGCUCGCGGCCUAUCAGCUAGUUGGUGUGGGUAAUGGCCCACCAAGGCGACGAUGGGUAGCCGACCUGAGAGGGUNAUCGGCCACAUUGGAACUGAGACACGGUCCAGACUCCGUAGGGAGG